ensembl:lncRNA
CUUCCUGGCUAUGCCCACCGAUGAAGGUGACAAUCACGAUGCAGAAAUGGACAGUGGGGAGCGUUGGAUGGAAUAAUUACAAUAGUGAACAAAGAACAGCGGUGAAGACAUUUUACCCAAACAUCUUACUUGCUGUUGGAAGUCUGGCUUGACCCAAUGUGAGGCCCUCUUCUCCAUUCCAGAUCCAGGACACCAUUCCCUGAAGGAGCCAUCAGGGGCCUGUGGGAUAGAGGCCAUUGCCGGGGAUGCCCUGAUAGAGGUCCUUCAACAAAUAACAAGUAAGAGGCUGCAGUUUCUGCAACGAGAGAUGAUGGGGCUGAAAUGUCAGCAGGACAGACCAGGAUGGAAGAUCAAUCACGGAGCGGAGGCGUAGACUGGUCAAGGCAGAGAAGGGAAGGACAUUUUCCAAGGGAAAUGUGUCUGUUAUCAGCCACAGACAUGCUCGAAAGGUGUCGGGAGAGAAGAGCUCCCUGGCCAGGAAAAGGAAAAAACCUCAGCUUGACCUGUCGGGAGGCCUGGGCUGAAGCAUUGCCUGGAGGUUUACCAGGAGCACACUGUGUACUUUCGAUAAGGGGGCCUGUCUCCCAGCUCGCUGUCCAUGGCCUUGGGAUCCGUUCCGUCAUAAUACUGUUUCUCCGAUAUCGGUGCCAUGACUCAUGUCCCCUGCUUGUUUGGUGGCUGCUGUAA